rnacentral:lncRNA from 1 species
UAUUGAAAUUAAAGAUUCAUAUGUUUAUCUUGGUCUGCUAUGUAAUUACCACGGAAACUUCUCUAAAGCUCGAAAAAAAAGUUGUUAGACUGUAUUUGAUGCAUUGGUGGUUACUAUUUUGACCUACUACUCGGAAAUAUGGAGGUUUGAAAAUAAAAAUAAUACUGAAACAAAUAUAUCUACAGUUUUGUAAGGGCAUUUUUGGGGUGCGAUCGUCUACGCCAAAUUUAAUGGUGUAUGGUGAACUUU